rnacentral:rRNA from 5 species
GCGACCCCAGGACGGGC